GGAGAGAUGGCUCAGUGGCAAAGAGCACUAACUUGCUCUUCCAGAGGUCCUGAGUUCAAUUCUCAGUAACCACA
rnacentral:tRNA from 1 species